UUUUGGGGUGCUGUAUUUGGAUUGUUGCCUAUAACUCCACUUUCUUUUCAGAACUGCCUAUGUUGUCUUUUACAAAACUAUUUCAAACAGGUCCCUUUUCAAACUAUUUUCUUGCUUAAGUCUUUUCAAAAAUAUGUCAAGCACUCUCACCCUACUCUUAGACCACUAAGUUCUACCCCUUUUGUGUGAGCCAUGCCUUGGGACCCUUGAACUCUCUCUGAACUUGGACACAUAAAAGCUGGCCUUUUCAUACUACACUUACUUUGUCUUUGCUAUGAAAUAUGGGUGUGAACGCUGCCUCGGAC
rnacentral:lncRNA from 1 species